UUUUCGCAAUCUGAAACCCUAGUUCCCAAAUCCAUCUAUUCUCACAUUUUCCAGUAAGAUUAUUAUGCAUUUUCUUCUUUAAUCGUUCAUCAACAGUUCAAAAUUGGUCGAUUUUCUUCUUUAAGAUUUGUUACUUUGAUUCGCAACGGCUUGUACGAAGUAGACCGCUCGUAAGUCCACCGGUGGAAAGGCUCAAAGGAAGCAACUCGCGACCAAGGCUGCUAGGAAAUCUGCUCCAACAACCGGAGGAGUGAAGAAGCCUCAUCGUUAUUGUUCUGGAACUGUCGCACUACGGUGAAUUGGCCAAACAUGCUGUUUCCGAGGGUACUAAGGCUGUUACCAAGUUUACUAGCGCUUAGAGGAGAUUGGUUUGUUGGUUUGAGGUGCCUUGAAGUUGGACCGGAAGAAGACAACAAGUAGAGAAAUAUGCUAUGACCGGAAAAUUGAAGAAAGUUUGUUUAUACACGUAAAUGAAAGGGAGACUAGAAUUGUUCUCAGAUAAUCCGUCACAAAAUGUUCUUUAAUGUUGAAAAUUAGGUGUAUGGUUUUUGUGUAGUUUGGAUUUUAUUGUGUUAUUUGAAUAAGUUGGUAUUUUAAUUUUAUUGGUUUGUAUAUCAAGUCAUGUUGGUUUUUUAUAUUUAUUAAAGAUUUGAGUAUAAUGAUU
rnacentral:lncRNA from 1 species